rnacentral:rRNA from 1 species
CCUACGGGAGGCAGCAGUGGGGAAUAUUGCACAAUGGGCGCAAGCCUGAUGCAGCGACGCCGCGUGAAGGAAGAAGGUCUUCGGAUUGUAAACUUCUAUCAGCAGGGAAGAAAAAAAUGACGGUACCUGACUAAGAAGCUCCGGCUAACUACGUGCCAGCAGCCGCGGUAAUACGUAGGGAGCGAGCGUUAUCCGGAUUUACUGGGUGUAAAGGGUGCGUAGGCGGCAUGGUAAGUCAGAAGUGAAAUUUUGGGGCUCAACUCCAGAGCUGCUUCUGAAACUGCUGUGCUAGAGUGUGGGAGAGGAAAGUGGAAUUCCGAGUGUAGCGGUGAAAUGCGUAGAGAUUCGGAGGAACACCAGUAGCGAAGGCGGCUUUCUGGACCAUAACUGACGCUGAGGCACGAAAGCGUGGGGAGCAAACAGGAUUAGAUACCCUGGUAGUC